AUAAGCAACACUGAAGGCAACUACUGCCUGCUGUCAGUCAUUUACCUUCCAGCUCUUCCUAAACAUCAUCUGUGUUUCUCAGGGGACUUUUGACAUGAGACUUUACACACAAAUGGGAAGCAACUGGAUUCAAUUAUUUGUAGCUUUGAUUGUUCUUCAGAUGGCAGUUGUGUCGUCUGUAGAGGAGUCACCAUGUAAACCUGGAUUUGACUCAGAUUUGAUAUUCAAAGUGAACAAGAAGCAUCUGAAACAAAGCACAAGACUGGGCAAAGUUGGAUUCACUGACUGCACCGAUCAUACAAGGUUUCUCUUCAGCACAGAUGACAGUCGCUUUGUGUUAACUACUGAUGGAGUAUUAACUGUAAAAAGAGCAGUUGAUCUUCAUGAUGGACGGCUGGACUUUUUUGUUCACUCCUUGGACUCACAGGGCAACAAAAUGGCUGUUCCUGUCAUGGUCCUGCAUCAUGGACAUCACCAAAGCAGAGAUGCUGAGCAUCACCAUGGAGGUCACAGACACCAGAACCAUCACAACACCGAUGUGGAUUCUGACAAUACCAUAGAGAAUGAAGGACAUCCAGAUGUGGCCGUCCUUUAUUUUCCCAAGUCGAGUAAUGGACUGAGGAGGAUGAAGAGAGACUGGCACAUCCCUCCUAUCAAUAUUCCUGAGAAUAGCAAUGGACCCUUUCCACUUAAAAUGGUUACGAUUCGCUCCAGUGAGGACAAAGUUAAGAAGAUCCACUACAGUAUCACAGGUCCAGGAGCCAAUGAAGAUCCAUUAGGACUCUUUACAAUGGACAAAGACACUGGUGAUCUGUAUGUUAAUCAGAGACUUGACAGAGAGAAACAAGCACAUUAUCCGCUGCUUGCACACGCUGAUAUGGACGAUCCUAUGGAAAUCAUCAUCAAUGUAAUUGAUAUGAAUGACAACAAACCUAUUUUUGAACAGACAUCCUAUGUGGCAGAAGUUGCUGAAUCUUCACCAAAAGGGACUACAGUGAUUCAGGUUAAAGCCACUGAUGCUGAUGAACCAGGCAAUGACAACUCAAUUAUCAAAUACACGAUUCUGAGCCAGGAACCUAACCUUCCCAGUGAUUCCAUGUUUGCCAUUAACUCCUUCAAUGGAGCCAUCAUGGUUGAAGGUGUUGGUUUGGACAGAGAGAAAUAUCCUGAGUACACUCUGGAAAUACAAGCAGCGGAUACAAAGGGAGAAGGAUUAACUGGAAGAACAGCAGUAGUUUUGAAAGUGACGGACAGCAACGACAACCUUUCAGUCUUUACUGCAUCUACUUAUCAGGGAUCAGUUGAUGAAAACGCAGUGGGGGUUCAGGUUGUUAAAAUGUCAGUAACUGAUGAAGAUGAACCAAACACCCCAGCAUGGAACGCCAAGUUCAUGAUUGUCAGAGGAGAUCCUGAUAAAUUGUUUUCCAUAGAAACAGGAACCAACAAACAAGAAGGAAUCAUCAAAACUGCUAAGGGACUGGACUUUGAGAAAAGCAGAACACACACUCUGGAGGUUAUUGUGGAGAACGAAGUCCCUUUUGCCAUUCCACUGACCACCUCCACCGCCACAGUGGUGGUGACCGUGAAGGACGUCAAUGAGCCUCCGAUCUUUAAAGAAAAGGAGAUGACCGUUCAAAAGUCUGAGGACCUUCCUGUGGAAAGUGUGAUCAUGAAUUCUGAGGCAGAAGACCCAGACUUUGAACGUGAAAACACUGUCAAGUAUAAAAUAAUUGAUGACCCUGAAAACUGGCUGACAGUGGACGAGGAUUCAGGGCUGAUGAAGGUGAAAAGCCCCAUGGACAGAGAGUCCCCUAAUGUGAAGGAGAAUAAAUACACGGUGCUCCUUGGUGCUUAUGAUAACGAUCCAGUCCCAGCCACAGGAACUGGAACCCUGGUCAUUAUACUUGAAGAUGUUAAUGAUAACCCUCCAUUCAUUGAGGAGCGUAUCAUCAGGGUGUGUCUAUUUAGAGCCAGGUGGAUGUUGGUGGUCCUUUGUCUGAUGCACAUCUGCUUUAAAAAAUACUUUGAGAUCACUGUGGAAUGUCUUCAGCACACAAACAUACCAAAGCGUUUAAUUCAAUGUGAUGGUUAAUAUUAUGAUCAAAUCUGAAAUUUCUGUUAACUUCAAAUGUGAUUCUUCAAAUGAAGAAUUACAGAUAUUCAAAGUGAAAUUCACACAUGUAAUUCCUCUUGUCUUGUAGGUCUCUUGUAGGGAGUGCUUGCUUAAAAAUGAAGAUAACUUUAGUAACAACUCAGUUCCUUCAUUUCUUGACACUGUGGUUUGUUUAAAUGGAGCAACAAAACCACUUCUAUAAAGCAACAUACCAACUGGGCAUGUGUGGUGCAUUCAUGAACGCAGGUUUUUAACACCAUUUUAGCAUACUGUGUUAACGCAGGUCUGUCGCUACCUGAUACUACCGCAUCUACUUACAGUUAGAAGAGGCUUGGUGCAAAAUGUUGAAGUGGUGCAAUUCUUGUGUAUUUUGCUCCAGGCUUUUUCUUUCACAGCUCUAUUACUGCCGCGCGUUCCAAAGUACUAUGUAAUUGAUAUUUUUCUAUGAUUUUUCUAAAUACUCAAUGCAAUUGACAUUCAGCAUAAAUUUCGAGUCACUAACCAUUAGAGUACAUAAAAUAUUGAACAAACCUCUUGAAGAUAACAGUACUUUGUUCCAAAAUUAAACCCUUCAAAUGCAACAUUCCAUAUUAUUAUGCACAACAUGUAGUUCCACAUCAUUUGAUAGAUUCUAAAGAACUGAAAAUGAUCAAUGAAUUUGCUGCAUUAAGAGGUCAUAUUUACUGAAAUCAAUAGCUAUUCCAACCAAAAACAUCUUAAUGGGUCACGUCACAUUUUGACAUAGUACAACUUAUUUUGUAGCAGCUUCACAACUCUUGCAUCCAUUGAACUUUUGGAGAGUCUCUACUUGAUUUUUCCUUGCAGGGUAUUAAAAUAGCCUCUCAGAGCUGCUGUUUGGAUGUGAACUGCCACCCACCCUCCAAGAUAUUUUACUUGAGGACGAUCCAAAGGUUCUCAUUAGGGUUGAAGUCAGGGGAGGAUGGGGCCAAACCAUAAGUUUUUCUCCUUUUAUGCACAUAGCAGCCAAUGAUGCAGAGGUAUUCCGUCCAGCGCGAGAUGGUGCAUUAUCAUGCAUGAAGAUGAUUUUGUUACGGAAAGCACAGUUCUUCUUUUUGUACCACAGAGUAAGUGUUCAGUCAAAAACUCCACAUACUUUUCAGAGGUCAUUUUCACACCUUCAGAGACCCUAUAGAGGCCGAUCAACUCUCAACAUGAUUCCGGCCAAAACAUCACUACACUGACGUCACAGCCUUGUUGGGACAUGGUGGCCAUCCACCCACUAUUCCAUCCACCUGGACCAUCCAGGGUUGCACGGGACUCAUCAGUGAACAAGACAGUUUGAAAAUUGGUCUUCAUGUAUGUCAGGGCCCACUACAGGCAUUUCUUCUGGUGGCUGAAUAGAAGGUUUACAUAUAAUUGCAAGUGUCUGGAGGAUCCCAAACCUUGAAGUUUUUGGGACUCCAGAAACACCAGCAGCUUUACAUAUGUGCUUGCUGCUUUGUUAUGGUAUUAUAGCAGCUGCUCUCCUAACUCUGUACAAAAGUGCUCUCCGCACUGUCUAUAUGAAAGACUUGGUGUUCUGUUAUUCUGACUGGGCACAAACCACACUUAUUAAUUUUCUCCUCCAUGAUCCAUUUUCAAAGUGCGUGCACUUCCGUAUUUUGUAUAAGGCUUAUACCCAUACAUCACCACCAAAUUACAGUCCCUGAUUAGUCAAAGUUCAACUUGUUUACCGUUCAGUGUGAGUUUAAUUGCUGUAUGUUUAGUUUGUAAAACCAGCAAACUGACUUGUAAACUUGCGUAGCGAUCUGUGAAUGUGAGGGUUUAAAUGCAGAAGCCUGAAGCACACGUAUGUGCACUUUUACAUGGACUUUUCAUUGGAAAUGAAAGUAUGUUUCCAAGCCCAUUCUGAAGAUUUACAAAAACAGAAUUAUCACUCAGAGAUGUUGCAGCACUCUUUAUAUUAGUUUGGAAAGGAAUUACUAUGAAGCAAAAAUCUGCAAGAGCUGUUAUAGUAUUAUAUUGGAGUUUUAUAUUUGGAAACUCUAGUUUAUUGCUGAAGGUAGGAUAGAGUGGAGGCAUAAGGCAUAAAUGUCAACAGUCAGAUGAUGAUCCCAAACUGGAGCCUAAAGGACUUUUCUUUUCUAGGUUUGCAGGGAUGCCUCAGCUCCUGUGCUGUUAACUGUAACAGACAGAGAUGGACCUCUUCAUUCUGCUCCAUACAAUGUGAUGGUACAUGAAGCAUCCAAACCCAAAUGGA